rnacentral:lncRNA from 1 species
ACACAAGCUAUCGCUGACUGCCGGUGCAUGUUGGAAAUGGGCCACAGGGCUGGGCAUGAUAUGAGCUGCCUGGACAUUGGAGGGGGCUUCCCCGGAAUGGAGGGCUCCGGGCCCAAGUUUGAGGAGCAGUUGAGAACAACAAGCAAUAACAACCAUACGAAGAAUCUAGCAAACUCAGACUUUACUUCUCCUUUUCGUGGUCCUGGAAACAGCUCAGAAUAAAGUGGAUCUGGACCUCUACAGAAGAGAGGGAGCUCCAGAUUCCAGGUAACUCACGCCGUUGCACUCAGUGGCUCCUCCGGAGUCCAUUUGAACACAAUGAGUUCGUGCUGAUACCAAGCACCAAGUGCCAAGAAUGAGUUCUGGGUGUCUGCGGAUCCUGCUGGAAUUCUGCCGAGUAUGCUAUCUGUUGACCCAAAAGCAAGGUUUCUCUGCCCAGACAUGCAGGAUUUCUUCAGCAAAGCAAAAGCCCUGCAGAUUACCAGAUCCAUCCUCUCCUAAAGCCAGA